GACGAACGCUGGCGGCGUGCUUAACACAUGCAAGUCGAACGGAAAGGCCCUGCUUUUGUGGGGUGCUCGAGUGGCGAACGUGUGAGUAACACGUGAGUAUCCUGCCCUUUACUUUGUGAUAUCUUCAGGCAACUGCGGCUAAUACCUGAUAGGAGCUCCUGCUGCUUGGUGGUGGUUGGACAGUUUCGGCGGUUGGGGAUGGACUCGCGGUUUAUCAGCUUGUUGGUGGGGUAGUGGCUUACCAAGGCUUUGACGGGUAGCCGGCCUGUGAGGGUGACCGGCCACAUUGGGACUAGGAUAGGGCCCAGAGGGAAACGGGAGGAAGCGGUGGGAAAUAUUGCACAAUGGGCGGAAGCCUGAUGCAGGAACGCCGCGUGCGGGAUGACGGCCUUCGGGUUGUAAACCGAUUUCGCCUGUGACGAAGCGUGAGUGACGGUAAUGGGUAAAGAAGCACCGGCUAACUACGUG
rnacentral:rRNA from 1 species